ACAAAACUAGUCGUGGUUCACAACAUUUCUUCCUUCUCCAUUUUCAGCACCACGAUGCUCUCUCGUCUCCUCCCCAAACCCUCACAUUUCUCUCUCCUCAGAAUUCCACCCAUGUCCCAAAUCCCCAAUUCUCCUCCCCCACUCCAAAACCCUACUUUCACCACCUUCGUCCCUAGAUUCUUCUCCACUGACGGCGACGGCAACGGUCGAUCCCCGUCCGACGUGUGGAAGCUUUCCAAGGAAUCUGAUGACAAGUUCGAUCCUUUGUUCGGGGACAGCUCCGGUGACGUCUCCUGGACAGUCGAGGCUGAUUCGUGGACGGAUUCGAAGGGCUGAUUAAUCAUGGAAGACCCCAUCAGUGAUUUGGCUAAGUUUGUAUCUGGAGAAUUCUGUGUUAGACUGGAGGACAGUGCUUCACUCAACAUUAUGGGCAGGACACGCCAUUUUUCAUUUAUGAAAGCAAAGGAUUUGUGACUAUGAGAAGUUUGAGGCUUUAUAUGAAGCUAAUUGUUUGCACACCUUCUAUAGAGAUUGUCGUGCUCUUACUCAAUUGCCCACCAGCUUGGCUAGGGUGAUAAACUUGCACCAUCUUAUAUCCGAAAUACAAAGUUAGGGAGGAUGCCACGGGAAAAUUGAAAGAUCUUCAAACGUUAUGUGACUUUGUGUUGGGAAAGAAUUCAGAGAUUGGUUGUACAGAGAGUUAAAAAGUUUUGGCAUUUGCGAGAAGUUCUUUAUAUUUCAGGGCUUCAUCAGAUUGUCUAUGUCGAAGAUGCUUUGGAGGCCAAUAUGCAUCAGGGAGAAGAAGAAGUGCUAGUUAGAAAACUAAGAAUUCUCAUGAUUCGUUCAAGCUUUCCUAGUUGGUUAGCAAAUCAUUCUUUCCAGUUGGCUUGUCUUCGACUAUCCGAUUGUUUAAGUUCUUGCUUUUUGCGACCGCUGGAGCAGCUACCCUUCCUCCGGGACCUUCAUGUUAUUGGGCUAAAUGGUUUACUUUAAAUAGGUCCUCCGUUUUACGGCGAUGAUAUAUGUGUUGUUACGCCAUUUAGACAUCUGAAAGUUGUGAAAUUCUGCAACAUGUUAAAUUGGCAGGAGUGGUCUUAUGUUGGAGUUGGAGGUAAUGAGAAAGGUGGAGCUUUUCCUAAACUUUGUGAGCUACAUUCGUUGGGUUCUCCCAUGCUAAUUGGAAGUUUACAAUUAGACUACUUCUCAAAGAUUGAACGGCUUAAACCAAUGCAUUGUAAUCUAAAUCCGUUGCUAUUUCUCAAGACCCUGAACUUCUAUCCUUUAGUAGCUUGGACAUUUCUGACUGCCCAAAUUUGGUAUCUUUUCCUGAUGGAGGACUGCAUGCACCAAAGCUGAAAGACAUAUAUCCAUAAAUGCAAGAAGCUGAGAUCACUGCCAGACGACAUGCACAGCCUCCUUCCAUUGCUUAAGCACUUGUCUAUAACCGAUUGUCCAGAGCUUUAAUCAUUUCCAGAGGGAUUGCCUUUAUAAUUACAAUCUCUUGGCAUUCAAUCUUUCAAAAAGCUUAUUGCAAAUCGUAUGUAGUGGGGUUUACACAGACUGACCUGCCACAUAAGCUUGAGAAUUGACUUCAGAGAAUGUGAAGGCAUAGAUUCAUAGAUUCAUUUCCGGAGGAGGCACUGCUGCCUACUGCUCUCACUUCUCUCAGCAUCUCCAAUUUGAAUAUUAAGACCAUGGAUGGCGAUGGGUUUAGACAAGUCUCUCUUGAAAGGUUGAAAAUAUGUGAAUGCCCUAAGCUCCAGUCUUUCCCAUUUGAAAGGCUACCCUCUCUUUCUGAAGUUCGAAUCUUCAUAUGUCCUUUUCUAGGAGAUGGUGCCGGAGGGAUAAGAGAGAAGGUUCCCAAAUGAUACUAUUUCCACAUCACCAACGGUCUCAGUUCUAAUGUGCACGCUGUGCAGCAACCCAUCAAUGGGGAGGAAUUACUACACAUAUAACGAGAUGUCUGAAUAUUAUGUGCGAGAUUCUUGAGGAAUGUGCAAAUCUUGGAAUUUCUUUGGUUGAUCAUUGUCGAUUGCUACUUAUUGUUGCUAGAACGGUGAAGAGUUAGAGGAUGCUGGAAUUUGUUGUUGCUGCUGUCUUUUAUUUUGCCUGAACUGCAUAGUCAUUGACAUUGUAUAUGUCUUCAAGCACAUGUUGUAUACUAGUUUGAUAACAUUCUUG